rnacentral:rRNA from 1 species
AUACGUAGGGUGCAAGCGUUAAUCGGAAUUACUGGGCGUAAAGCGCGCGCAGGCGGAUCGGAAAGAAGGAUGUGAAAUCCCAGGGCUCAACCUUGGCACUGCAUUCUUAACUACCGAACUAGAGUAUGUCAGAGGGGGGUAGAAUUCCGCGUGUAGCGGUGAAAUGCGUAGAUAUGCGGAGGAAUACCGAUGGCGAAGGCAGCCCCCUGGGAUAAUACUGACGCUCAUGCACGAAAGCGUGGGUAGCAAACAGGAUUAGAUACCCUGGUAGUCCACGCCCUAAACGAUGUCAACUAGCUGUUGGGCCCUUCGGGGCUUAGUAGCGUAGCUAACGCGUGAAGUUGACCGCCUGGGGAGUACGGUCGCAAGAUUAAAACUCAAAGGAAUUGACGGGG